UACGAAGGGGGCGAGCGUUGUUCGGAAUUACUGGGCGUAAAGGGCGCGCAGGCGGCUCUGAAAGUCAGAUGUGAAAGCCCCGGGCUUAACCUGGGAAUUGCAUUUGAUACUCUGGAGCUUGAGUACGGGAGAGGAGAGUGGAAUUCCCAGUGUAGAGGUGAAAUUCGUAGAUAUUGGGAAGAACACCGGUGGCGAAGGCGGCACUCUGGGCCGGUACUGACGCUGAGGAGCGAAAGCGUGGGGAGCAAACAGG
rnacentral:rRNA from 1 species